UUAAGCGACUAAGCGUACACGGUGGAUGCCCUGGCAGUCAGAGGCGAUGAAGGACGUGCUAAUCUGCGAAAAGCGUCGGUAAGGUGAUAUGAACCGUUAUAACCGGCGAUGUCCGAAUGGGGAAACCCAGUGCAAUUCGUUGCACUAUCGUUAACUGAAUACAUAGGUUAACGAGGCGAACCGGGGGAACUGAAACAUCUAAGUACCCCGAGGAAAAGAAAUCAACCGAGAUUCCCCCAGUAGCGGCGAGCGAACGGGGAGCAGCCCAGAGUCUGAAUCAGCUUGUGUGUUAGUGGAACGGUCUGGAAAGUCCGACGGUACAGGGUGAUAGUCCCGUACACCAAAAUGCACAGGCUGUGAACUCGAAGAGUAGGGCGGGACACGUGGUAUCCUGUCUGAAUAUGGGGGGACCAUCCUCCAAGGCUAAAUACUCCUGACUGACCGAUAGUGAACCAGUACCGUGAGGGAAAGGCGAAAAGAACCCCGGCGAGGGGAGUGAAAAAGAACCUGAAACCGUGUACGUACAAGCAGUGGGAGCACCUUCGGGUGUGACUGCGUACCUUUUGUAUAAUGGGUCAGCGACUUAUAUUCUGUAGCAAGGUUAACCGUAUAGGGGAGCCGCAGGGAAACCGAGUCUUAACUGGGCGUUAAGUUGCAGGGUAUAGACCCGAAACCCGGUGAUCUAGCCAUGGGCAGGUUGAAGGUUGGGUAACACUAACUGGAGGACCGAACCGACUAAUGUUGAAAAAUUAGCGGAUGACUUGUGGCUGGGGGUGAAAGGCCAAUCAAACCGGGAGAUAGCUGGUUCUCCCCGAAAGCUAUUUAGGUAGCGCCUCGUGAACUCAUCUUCGGGGGUAGAGCACUGUUUCGGCUAGGGGGUCAUCCCGACUUACCAACCCGAUGCAAACUACGAAUACCGAAGAAUGUUAUCACGGGAGACACACGGCGGGUGCUAACGUCCGUCGUGAAGAGGGAAACAACCCAGACCGCCAGCUAAGGUCCCAAAGUCAUGGUUAAGUGGGAAACGAUGUGGGAAGGCACAGACAGCCAGGAUGUUGGCUUAGAAGCAGCCAUCAUUUAAAGAAAGCGUAAUAGCUCACUGGUCGAGUCGGCCUGCGCGGAAGAUGUAACGGGGCUAAACCAUGCACCGAAGCUGCGGCAGCGACACUAUGUGUUGUUGGGUAGGGGAGCGUUCUGUAAGCCUGCGAAGGUGACCUGUGAGGGUUGCUGGAGGUAUCAGAAGUGCGAAUGCUGACAUAAGUAACGAUAAAGCGGGUGAAAAGCCCGCUCGCCGGAAGACCAAGGGUUCCUGUCCAACGUUAAUCGGGGCAGGGUGAGUCGACCCCUAAGGCGAGGCCGAAAGGCGUAGUCGAUGGGAAACAGGUUAAUAUUCCUGUACUUGGUGUUACUGCGAAGGGGGGACGGAGAAGGCUAUGUUAGCCGGGCGACGGUUGUCCCGGUUUAAGCAUGUAGGCUGGUUGUCCAGGCAAAUCCGGAUAAUCAAGGCUGAGGUGUGAUGACGAGGCACUACGGUGCUGAAGUAACAAAUGCCCUGCUUCCAGGAAAAGCCUCUAAGCAUCAGGUAACAUUAAAUCGUACCCCAAACCGACACAGGUGGUCAGGUAGAGAAUACCAAGGCGCUUGAGAGAACUCGGGUGAAGGAACUAGGCAAAAUGGUGCCGUAACUUCGGGAGAAGGCACGCUGGUGUGUAGGUGAAGUCCCUGCGGAUGGAGCUGAGACCAGUCGAAGAUACCAGCUGGCUGCAACUGUUUAUUAAAAACACAGCACUGUGCAAACACGAAAGUGGACGUAUACGGUGUGACGCCUGCCCGGUGCCGGAAGGUUAAUUGAUGGGGUUAUCCGUAAGGAGAAGCUCUUGAUCGAAGCCCCGGUAAACGGCGGCCGUAACUAUAACGGUCCUAAGGUAGCGAAAUUCCUUGUCGGGUAAGUUCCGACCUGCACGAAUGGCGUAAUGAUGGCCAGGCUGUCUCCACCCGAGACUCAGUGAAAUUGAACUCGCUGUGAAGAUGCAGUGUACCCGCGGCAAGACGGAAAGACCCCGUGAACCUUUACUAUAGCUUGACACUGAACAUUGAGCCUUGAUGUGUAGGAUAGGUGGGAGGCUUUGAAGCGUGGACGCCAGUCUGCGUGGAGCCAACCUUGAAAUACCACCCUUUAAUGUUUGAUGUUCUAACGUUGGCCCCUGACCGGGGUUGCGGACAGUGUCUGGUGGGUAGUUUGACUGGGGCGGUCUCCUCCCAAAGCGUAACGGAGGAGCACGAAGGUUAGCUAAUCCUGGUCGGACAUCAGGAGGUUAGUGCAAUGGCAUAAGCUAGCUUGACUGCGAGCGUGACGGCGCGAGCAGGUGCGAAAGCAGGUCAUAGUGAUCCGGUGGUUCUGAAUGGAAGGGCCAUCGCUCAACGGAUAAAAGGUACUCCGGGGAUAACAGGCUGAUACCGCCCAAGAGUUCAUAUCGACGGCGGUGUUUGGCACCUCGAUGUCGGCUCAUCACAUCCUGGGGCUGAAGUAGGUCCCAAGGGUAUGGCUGUUCGCCAUUUAAAGUGGUACGCGAGCUGGGUUUAGAACGUCGUGAGACAGUUCGGUCCCUAUCUGCCGUGGGCGCUGGAGAAUUGAGGGGGGCUGCUCCUAGUACGAGAGGACCGGAGUGGACGCAUCACUGGUGUUCGGGUUGUCAUGCCAAUGGCACUGCCCGGUAGCUAAAUGCGGAAGAGAUAAGUGCUGAAAGCAUCUAAGCACGAAACUUGCCCCGAGAUGAGUUCUCCCUGAGACUUUAAGUCUCCUGAAGGAACGUUGAAGACGACGACGUUGAUAGGCCGGGUGUGUAAGCGCAGCGAUGCGUUGAGCUAACCGGUACUAAUGAACCGUGAGGCUUAACCUU
rnacentral:rRNA from 1 species